UGUAGAUGUUUGUGCCAUUAGUUG
rnacentral:misc_RNA from 1 species